rnacentral:rRNA from 1 species
AGUGAACGCUGGCGGUAGGCCUAACACAUGCAAGUCGAACGGCAGCACAGUAAGAGCUUGCUCUUACGGGUGGCGAGUGGCGGACGGGUGAGGAAUACAUCGGAAUCUACUUUUUCGUGGGGGAUAACGUAGGGAAACUUACGCUAAUACCGCAUACGACCUACGGGUGAAAGCAGGGGAUCUUCGGACCUUGCGCGAUUGAAUGAGCCGAUGUCGGAUUAGCUAGUUGGCGGGGUAAAGGCCCACCAAGGCGACGAUCCGUAGCUGGUCUGAGAGGAUGAUCAGCCACACUGGAACUGAGACAUGGUCCAGACUCCUACGGGAGGCAGCAGUGGGGAAUAUUGGACAAUGGGCGCAAGCCUGAUCCAGCCAUACCGCGUGGGUGAAGAAGGCCUUCGGGUUGUAAAGCCCUUUUGUUGGGAAAGAAAGGCAGCAGGUUAAUACCCCGCUGUUCUGACGGUACCCAAAGAAUAAGCACCGGCUAACUUCGUG